rnacentral:rRNA from 1 species
GUGGUCCUACGGGGGGCAGCAGUAGGGAAUCUUCCACAAUGGGCGAAAGCCUGAUGGAGCAACGCCGCGUGGGUGAAGAAGGUCUUCGGAUCGUAAAACCCUGUUGUUAGAGAAGAAAGUGCGUGAGAGUAACUGUUCACGUUUCGACGGUAUCUAACCAGAAAGCCACGGCUAACUACGUGCCCGCCGCCGCGGUAAUACGUAGGUGGCAAGCGUUAUCCGGAUUUAUUGGGCGUAAAGGGAACGCAGGCGGGCUUUUAAGU